ensembl:lincRNA
AUGACAGGCAAGGCAGCAUCUGCUAUGCAGGAGGUGCUCCACAAAUCUGCUCUGAAUGAGUGGAUGUAUUUUCCAUGUCUGUGGCACAGUAGUCACUCAGUAAGUGUAGAUUUUGUCCCUUUCUUUUCCCAGAUUAGCAGCCACCAUAGAGUUGGUUUCUGUACUUUAACCUCUCAAUCAAGCCAAAAACACAGCUUCUUAGAGGGACCAGGCCAUGUCUGCAAGAUAUUCCUCAACCGUGACAUCAGCAACCAUCUUAGGCCAUUGGCAGGGAGUGAGCUGACUACUCCCCAGGGUCUCAGGUCCUUUUCCAGGAGUAAGUGACCAUCGUGUACCCAUGGGAAGAGUGCUGCAUCCACGGAGGACCUGGGCCAACAGUGCUCUGAAAUGGGUUUCAUGAAAGCAUCUGUGACUCAUUCCUGUCCAAGAAUGUUUUCAUUAAGAUUCAGCAGAAGCGAUGUGCCAGGUCAGCAAAUACAACUGCAAAACUGGGGCCUGAUAGCCUGGCCAACACAGCAAGACCCCGUCUCGACUAAAAAUUAAAAUUAAAAUUAAUUAGCUGGGUAUGGUGGCUGUAGUCUCAGUUACUCAGGAGGCUAAGGUGGGAGGGUCACUUGAGUCCAGGAGGCCAGGGCUACAGUGAGCCACGAUUGCACCACUGCACUCCAGCCUGACGCCGUCUCAAAAACAAAACAAAAACCCUGGGGCCUGAAUGCAAAGUGAAACACUUGCUCCUGUUAAUCAUAGCACUUGCAUUACAGGCCAGGUGGCUCCUAGCAUCCGUCCACAGCACAAGGCCAUGUUGUGUAGCAACACAUCCCUAGUCCAGCCACAGGGAGCUGCCUGCAAGGGGAAGUGGUGAGCAAACAGCUGCACAGCAGCAGGGAAGCUCCAUCUGCCUCCCCCUUCAUGGCCCUUCCCAGCUGCUGCAGAGAUGCUGGGGGUCCCUUCCACACACAGGCCUAUGUUCUAGCUAAUGAGAGCCAGGAGACUGGCAAGAUUAAGCAGAGUCCUCAUGAGUGAUCUGGCAAACCCCACUGCACUUCAGAACAGAUCCCUAGAUUCUGGGCUUCACCUCAUUUAAAAAGGACACUGUGAAUACUGUUUCAAGUAAAUAAAAUAAUGAGGAGAUGAGAAAGAGGAAAGAAAAAUAGUUUUCAAAAGCUAUCCUUUAAUUCCCUCAGAAGCACAGCUCUCAGUGUCUACAAAGUACUUAAUCUGUGCUUGGUCGGUGGACAGAGUAGUCCGUGUGCUUGGCCCAGUGUCCUACUCUGUGAGCAUUCUAACUGCAUGAGCACACUGGGCAGCUGCCUGGGACCGGGGGCUGGCACUGUAGCCAUGACCUUGUGGCUAGUCCCUCCGUGUGACCAAGCUGAAAGGCAUUAAGUGGAUUAAGCCAGCUCCAAGUAACAUGGAAGGCACUCUUCCUCUUUUGCAGAACAAGGCUCUCAUUUUCAGCUUUAAGCCACCUUAUUUCCACUUCUAAGAGUCAGGACUGUUGUUCUGGAUCUCAGUGAGACAGCACCCAGCACACCCAGUGGAGUUAGAGAACUCUCAGUCUCUUGCUGAUAGCCUGAAAAAAAUAGGGACCAUGGAGGAAGGUAGGUCAGUCUGCACCCAUGGGUCAGAGGACUGGGAAUUCCCAGGCGUCACUUGGCCUUUGACAUCUGUUCACCUUUAGAGGCCAGGAUUCCAGCAGUCGGCCCAUGAUGACACAGACAGGGCUAGGGUAGGAGCCAUGCAUUAGAGCCAGAGGGCUUCUCCUGAACCUCGUUCUCCAACAGCUGCAACUCUGUCCUUAACACAUGCUGAUGACAAAAUGAAUGCAGGUAGUUUGAAUUCUGCUUACUCAACCUCUAUUGAGUGAAUGAGCAGUGAAACACCUAAGGGGGGCAAAAAUGAGCAGUAGUCCCAGAUAAAACACACAUGGAAUGACUAUGCUGUGGCCCAUCCUUUGCCAACCAGCAAGCAUAACCACUUUAUGCCACGAGUAUGGAGUCUGUUUGGGAUGGGCCGAAGGCUUCCUGGUCCUUCAGAAAUGUGCAAAGGACCCCUCUCUCCGUGGUGAAUGGACAGGCUCCAGGAGAUCCCAAAGGUCAUAGAUUCCAGAAGUGAGGUGUAAAAUUCUCCUGGGGCGCAAGACACAGAGAAAAUAAAUGUAUUCUAGGGACCCCCAAGACCAGGCCCAUGGCUGGGGUGGAAGGCUUCCAGGGAGCUAUCAGAGUGCAACACUUCCAUCCUGGAGUCAAGCCAUUCACAAACAAAUGCAAGAAUGCAGAAGGGGGCUGGAGGCGAGAACAGCAAGGAGGCAGGCCAAGGGUCAGGGAAGGGCAACUGUGAAAUAACGAGGUGAUUUAUACAAUUUACUGUAUAUUUCAAGGUAGCUAGAAGAGAAGAAUUGCAAUGUUCUCAACACAAAGGAAAAAUAAAUGUUUGAGAUGAUGGAUAUCCCAAUUACGCUGCUUUGAUCAUUGCAUAUUGUAUAGAGGCAUCAAA